UGGGAGUGUGGAAGUGUCCUCCGGGAUGGCUU
rnacentral:piRNA from 2 species